rnacentral:lncRNA from 1 species
AGAGUUUUCAUGAAUAACCUGAUGUCAUUUUUUACUUUACCGUUAUGAAAUGAUGUACCCAAACCUGCUCCAGGUAAGACAGACACCAUAAGAAGCAUGACCAAGAGUAAUUAUAUGGCUGUAAUUGUAAAAGUAGAGAAGUUGCCAAGGAAACCAAUAGAAUCUUCCCUCUAAUUGCUCCCCUUUUAGAACUUUGCCCCAGAUUUACUAUUUCUACAUAACCCCCAUCUACAGUUUAAGCAUAAUAUAUAAAGGUGCAAAUGGCAAGGACAUUGCCUGUUUCAAUGUUAUAAUUUAAAGAUGUUGGACCACAAAGUGUAGACUGUAGACCAGGCUCCCCCAACCUCUGGCCCUCCAGAUGUUGCUGAACUACAACUCCCAUGAUUCUCAGCCUAUCUAUUUAAUUCAUAGAAUCAUGGGAGUUGUAGUUCAGCAACAUCUGGAGGGCCGGAGUUUGGGGAAGCCUGCUGUAGACUGUUCGUUGAGCAGCAUCCUUCUCUGUCUCUGUGACAUCUGUGCUACUUAUGCAAUGUGACAAGAUUCACUCUUUCAAUGUUGAAUUUAAUGGAUUCUUAAAAUAUUCAUUUGUCAUUAACAUAUAUCUGUUUUUUUCUGCAAAACCUCCUGUUAGGGGCUGGUGAGACUUUCUAAACCCCUAGACCAUUUAAUUAAAAGCUCCCCCUCCAGAUUAAAAUUCCCCAGUGCGUCUGAGAGAAGCAUUUAAAAUAGGCCUGGAGACGUGUCUCAAAACUAAGAAUGAAAUUAAAUACAUUUAACAAGAAAUCAAUUGAGGAUCUGACUGGAGCUUAGGAUUUAAAGCAUACAAGUGUUUAGAGAGGAGGUGGAAAGAAAUACAAUAUAUUCUCCAGUUAAGAGACCAGCAUCAAAAAUGAAUUACCCGCUGUUAUUAAGAAAUAAAUCUGGUUUCUCUAAUGGCCUUAUUUUCGGACUGGCACCUGGAGUUUGUGCUGUGUGCUGUGUACACUGAGAUGCAAAGCCUGACAUUGGGGGAGUGGGAAAGCUAAUCACUGGAAGAAUAAGGAGCUUGUCAAAUCUCCAUUUUCAGGGUCAGCCCGGCUGAUAUAACAGAUGGCUGGAAGUUUUCGCAAGCAUAAAAUCAACGUACGAGGAGCAGCUGUGGCUGAGCUGUGCCUCGGAAAGCUUGCCCACCAUUUUCAAUUAUUCAGUGUUUAUUGUAGUCGAUGGCAGGCAGCUUUUCUUAUUGUUUUAUCAAGCAAAAACUUGCAGUAUUAUAAGUUUUUUUAUUUAUUUUAUAUUAUCACAUUUCUUCACUUCUGAGCUAUUCUGUAGAAUAUUACAAUCUAAAUGUAUCGAGAUCUUGGAGACCCAUAGGACUGUGCCGUAAGGCUUAAUGGCCGAAACUAGAUUACUGAGUAUGCAAACAAAAUGUGUCAAAUGGAAAUCUUAUACUGUAUGUCCUGCACUGCAGGCUGUAAGUGUAUUUUAUUAUAUAUAUUUUUUCUUUUGCAAACUGUUCCAUGAUCCCUAGUGGAAUUUCUGGUGAUUUAACAUUGAUGUUUUGAACACAAAUUACAUUAGGUCAAUGAACAAUGCAAAUUUACUUGUGAAAAAAAUAUAUUGAGGAGAGACAUUAAGAACAGACUGCCCAACGCAUUUCACUUGUACAAUCAUAGGCAUGAUCACCACUGGCAAUUUUCUAUUUCUGCCUUUGUUCUGUAUACGAUGUGAUAAGCAAACAGCUAGCAAAUGCUUUGAUUUAAAAGUCAUGAGUACACAUCCAGAUGUUUGUAUUUUUUUUUUUUUUAAUUCUUUAUUUGUAUUCAGCUCACAGAUAUAAAGAAUGGUAUGUGCAGGAGCAUACAGUGACAAAAAUAAGUUAACAUAAUACAUAAGUACAUGCGUAGGAAGAAAAUGUACAUUAUUGACAGAUACCUGGAGCUGAGGGUUUUGUAUUUUGUUCAGUGUGUCAACAUUAUUUUAAUAAAACUGUUAAAACUGAGCAGUUGAUGAAUGUUGGGGACAAUCGUGUAGGAUUAAGGGGGUACCUGCUAUAGGUUACAAAGUGGCCUGUACGAGCAGGGGUACCAGUCGACUGGUGAUAGAGUAACUAUGAAAAAAAAAAAAGGACAGGGUGACUGUAUAACUAACCGUUGUGGGUCUUAUGCCUAUGGUACGUUUGCAGCCCGUAUGUCGAGUAGCAGGACCCGACAUACGGGUAACUAAGUUGUUUUACGCCUAUAGUGCCUUUAAUGCAAGGCAGACAAAUUGAGCACUAGUAUAGAGGCUGGGGGUGAGUGACCAAAUCGCUCUGUGCAAUCCACCUAACUACAUGGUGUUCCCUAGCCAAGGCUAGUAGCCUGAUCAUACUGCCUUCAAUAAGGAAAAUAUAUCACAAUGAGGAGAGCAAAAAAAAUAAAGAAAAUGAGGAAUUGGGAGUUAGUGCUAUUUCAAUUCGGAGCUACAUACCUAGAUGUUUGUAUUUUGAAUUGCAUUGUGAUGCAUUAAGUAUAAUUACUCCCACUUUUUCUUCACCUUUGCUCCAGUGCUGUCUUCGGCUGAUUGAAAUUUUUUUUUUCAGUAGGGGGUUUCACCAAUCACUUUGUCAUACUCAGAGAGGACAUAUUCUGCCUGGCAGGUGAAGGGUCUGCACUCUGCCCAGCGGUUCUGGAUGGUAAGAUUGGGUAGAUGGUCUCCAGAGGCUAUAUUUUGACCUUUACACACUAAUAUGUGCAGUCUGACAUUCUGCAAAUGGGAAGUAAAACAAGCCUAUAAAAUUGACCAUGUGUUUUCUACAAUGAAGUCAGAUUUUCUGUUUAUCUAUAUUAUUCAUACGAUAUAUGGCCAUGUCCAACAAUGUCUAUAAUCAAUUAUAUAACAAAUGACCAGAACUUUAAAUAUGGACUUUAACGUUAUUCUUUUUGUACCAGUAUGCGUCAUUAUACAACCCUGCUUUUUCAUCUCUACCUCUGAUCAAUGACUACGUUUUGUGUAAGAACUGUUAACAAAAUAACUAAAACCCCCAUUUACAGUAUUUUUUACAAAUUAUUACAAUGGAAAAAAAGUAUUAAUGUUCUGGUAAAUGUCUGCAAGCCUUAAAUUUGUUCCAAAGCUGUAUUCACUCCCUACACUCAAUGGUUAAAUUGUCUCUUUAUAUUAUCCAAUUAGUUUGAAAAAGCAUGCGCCCCUGCUGGUACUAAGUGGAAAUGCACUGGUUGUUGACUUGCUACAAGUCAUUAGCUGGCUUCCCCCAGCAGGAGAUAAGAUGCUAAUCUAAUUUCUUCCCAUGCCAGCACCCCAGGUCCCAAAGGAGCUAAAAGCCAUUAAAAUCCUUAUUGAUUACUUCCUGUCACCCCAGAGCACAGCGGCCUACAUAGAAAGUGUUGGUCAAUAUGGAUUAGAGAAAUCUGAAAAACAAACUUUAAAUUUACCAGCAAAAAACAGGGAUGUUUCAUGCUAAACACAAAGCUGUAUUUGCCUUUUCAGAGGCUCAUUUGACUUACUUUGAAAAAAAUUUAGAGGUCAUCUUCUCCAACCCCAACGACUGAUACAGAUAAAUGGUUUUCCAGUAUUUUAUAUCAGUUGCGACAGUUGCAAAAUAUCCCACAUUUCUUCUCUCAUCACCCACAACCAGUCUUUGGACACCAAGUGUGAUGAAGAUUGCAGUCCAACGAUAAGUACAGAUCUUCUGGUCACAUAAAUGGACUUCAAAUGCCAACAUCGCUGUCCUGUUUGCAAGGAGAAAUCUCCGACAUUGUAAUCGAAAUGUCAUUGCGUGAUCUGAAAAUAAUUGUGUGCUUUGAUUGAACAAACUGUGAAUAAGCAGAAUAAACAGCCUUUGUGUCUAAUGAGUAAAGGGACUUGGAAAUUGCUGGUGCUGAAAGAACAGCUGCACACAGCCUAGACGGAAUCUACUGCUAUCUUCGGAGUAUAUUAAAUUAAUAUUGGCUGAAUACAGAUACCUGGAUACAUUGUAUUCACUCACUAGUUGUCUACUAUAGCAUCAAAAUAGAUUUAGAGAUAAAAAUAUGUGCAAAGGCUCAUUAAUUUAAUUUAUAAAGUCUACACAUGCAACUGGUUCUUAUCUCAGUCAAAAAGCCACCUGUCUAUGUUAACCCUAAAAUUCAAAAUAGAAACACAAAUAGCCCGGAGAAGAAAGGCUGGGAUGAUAUUUAGGGACAGUAAAGCAGAUAUAUUAAGUGAUUCAUUGAUAUUUUGUGUCUGGUUUUUGUUUUGAUCACUGUUGGUCUUUUCCAAAAUGAACUUACAUUGUUAUCCAGUCAAAUGGAAGUUGGAAACGAGAAAAGUUCNNNNNNNNNNNNNNNNNNNNNNNNNNNNNNNNNNNNNNNNNNNNNNNNNNNNNNNNNNNNNNNNNNNNNNNNNNNNNNNNNNNNNNNNNNNNNNNNNNNNAUAGAAGUUGAGAAUUUGAUAAGGCUUUGCACACUGUUUUGGGGAUGAAUGUUCUCUAGUUAAUACUGAGUUGGUUUUACGAUUUUUGUUUUAUUUACUAAGUUUAGUUUGGGGAUAUAUUGAGAGCAACAGGAUUUGGGAGAAUGUUAAGAUGUAACAACAUAGAAACCUAGACGGCAGAUAAGAACCAUUCGGCCCAUCUAGUCUGCCCAAUUUUCUAAAUACUUUCAUUAGUCCCUGGCCUUAUCUUAUAGUUAGGAUAGCCUUAUGCCUAUCCCACACAUGCUUAAACUCCUUUACUGUGUUAACAUCUACCACUUUAGCUGGAAGGCUAUUCCAUGCAUCCACUACCCUCUCAGUAAAGUAAUACUUCCUGAUAUUAUUUUUAAACCUUUGCCCCUCUAAUUUAGGACUAUGUCCUCUUGUUGUGGUAGUUUUUCUUCUUUUAAAUACAGUUUCCUCCUUUACUGUAUUGAUUCCCUUUAUGUUUUUAAAUGUUUCUAUCAUAUCCCCCCUGACUCGUCUUUCCUCCAAGCUAUACAUGUUAAAGGACCACUCUAGGCACCCAGACCACUUCAGCUUAAUGAAGUGGUCUGGGUGCCUGGUCCUUCUAGGGUUAACCCAUUUUUUAAUAAACAUAGCAGUUUCAGAGAAACUGCUAUGUUUAUGAAUGGGUUAAGCCUUCCCCAUUCUAGUGGCUGUCUCAUUUGACAGCCACUAGGCUAGUGCUUCUCACUGUGAUUUUCACAGUGAGAGCACGCCAGCGCCAUAGGAAAGCAUUGUAAAUGCUUUCCUAUAGAAUCCAUUCAGCCCGGUGAACGGAGGGAGGAGAGAAGGAGGAGAGCUCCCCGCCCAGCGCUGGAAAAGGUAAGUUUAAACCCCUUUCCCCUUUCCAGAGCCGGGCGGGAGGGGGUCCCUGGGGGUGGGUGCACCCUCAGGGCACUAUAGUGCCAGGAAAACAAGUAUGUUUUCCUGGCACUAUAGUGGUCCUUUAAGUUCCUUUAACCUUUCCUGGUAAGUUUUAUCCUGCAAUCCAUGAACCAGUUUAGUAGCCCUUCUCUGAACUCUCUCUAAAGUAUCAAUAUCCUUCUGGAGAUACGGUCUCCAGUACUGUGUACAUGUGUGUAGGUAGUGGUUAUUGUGCGGUGCGAACCAAUGCAAUCAUAAUUACAUUUUCCCGUUUUCCCCCCAAUUAAAACCAAGAGACAUAAGUGUGGUAUAAAACAGGCCACAGCUUUAUUUAUCAUAACAAGCAUAAAUAAAUCAACCAAUAAUUUACUCGAAAACUUGUCCUUGCCAACCGAACCAUAAUAACUCUAGAGUACCCCCUUCCAGGGUACCUGCCCUCCCCCCUCGUCCAAGAUAACUGGCCUUUUACAUUGGCCUUCCAAUUCCCCAUGCCAACCCCUGGCCGCCUUUUACUGGCACGGGGGGCACGCCCAAUUACCAAAAACUCUCCGAGGUUAGGGGAGGGACCAGACCCAGCAUUCCUUCUUCCAGUGUACUCGUUUUCCAACUGGUUUGGCAAGGACCAUACCCGCCACUAGCGCCUGCUGCAUUUAAGCCUAAAUCAGCGGGCGCGACUCCCCACAAACGCCAUGGCCUGCUCUAACGCGUCCUGCAGCGCCAGAUUAAAUAAAUCUAAACCCACAUCCGUGAGAUGAACCCCAUCUGGGCGAAAAUAGAUCGCCGCUUCCCUUUCAAAUAUCCGGUGUCGCACUGUGACACCCCCAACCCCGAGUACGAAUUUGGACACCCUCUUGUUGAUUUUCACCAUGCAGCGCUCAAUCGCCCCCUGAUCCCUCGCGCGGCGCCAAUAGUUCCUAGAUACUAUACCUGACCAGACUAAGCAAAGUUGAGGGAAAAGGACUAGCAAGCGCGCCAAAUCCCGUCUAAUGAGCUCACCAAGCCCCCAAGCAGGCAGCGCCCCAAGAUCAUUUCCCCCCAGGUGUAUCACCAAUACAUCAGGGGCCCCCAACAAUGUGGCCAACUGUAACACCUCCGGCAAGAGCUGGCCCCUGUGCAUGCCCCGAAAACCGAACCAUCGGACCUCAGCUAGCUCCCGGGGAAUUCCAAGUCGCGUCCCACCCGGGCGUACCCAUGCCCGCAGGUGGGCCCAGUAGAUAUAUGAAUGCCCAAUCAGCCAGAUCCGUCGGCCGGACCCUGCGGAGAAAACACAAGAGGGGCACCCAUCAGACGCGUGGGCCGGAUAUAGGAACGAAACCUCCCAGAUUCCCACCUCCCAAUCCUCUGAAUCACUUGAUCAGAGAAACCCAACUGAGAAGCUUCUGUAGCUGCCCCAAUCCGGAAGGAAUGACCCCCAAAUUCACCACUCGGGAUUCCCAGCAUGUCAAGCGCCAAGCGAAAUACCCGGAGGAAUUGAAAACGAAACAGGUAAGUACCAUCCUCGUGCAUUAACAACGGACCCGCAAGACUCGGGCGUAUGGAGCAGUAGGACUGAAACGCAGAGGCUGGGCAAACCGACGAAUUAGGGAUGGUGCGAAGGGUAACCCAGCGACCCUUUCCAACAACGUCAGUUUUUGACCGUCGUAUCAAGAAACGCACCGCACCAUCCAAGAGGAACACAUCGUGAAAUAACAAACCCCCCGGAGUCCCCUUGCUAGGACUGAUUAGUUCCCCAAUCCGGAGGGCCCCAAAAAAGGCAAAAAUAAAGGCUAACCGAAAUAAACUGGCUUCAUAAGCAGAAUAACAUAUCUGCGGCAGCACUGAGGCAAUUCCUAGCAGCAGUGCCCCUGAAUCCGGCCUACGAGAAUCCUGCCCACGAGGGCCCCUACGCCAACCACGCAUCGCAAGCUUAACCAAGAAAUCCUUAGUGACAUCCGGCACCCGAGAUAAGUUAAACCAGAAACUAAGACCGGAAAGCUUCCCUGAAACAGUAGCCGGUGAACACCCGCAAGCCUCCCAAAACCAAAGCAAACGUAACAAACCUUGAACUCGUUCCGCCGAGGAAGCGUAGCCCCCAUGAUCCUGUUCAAGAGCAACCCAUUCCCCCCAAGCCUUACCAUACCGGACCCAUGUCGCCUCAGACACCGAGGACCGUAUCCAUUCCCUUAUCCGCUCAGGCCAAGGGACCAUAGUUCUCUGGGACAGGGGAGGCCUUCCAAGUCUGCUCCCGGAGCGGCUUUCCGAAACACCUGCCAUUGAAAGCGAGAAAGAGAGUCAGCCAUGGUAUUCAUGACCCCGGGAAUAUGCACAGCACGGCACGUUAUGUUCAGAGACAAGCAUCGCAAAACCAAUUGACGCAAUAGCCUAACCACCGGAGGGGAAGAGGCCGUCAGGUUAUUGAUGGCCUGAACUACACCCAGGUUAUCACAGUGGAAGACGACGCGCCUGUCUUUGAGCUCCAACCCCCAUAGGUGAACAGCCACCAAGAUGGGGAAGAGCUCCAAGAACGCCAAGUGAAGCGACCCACGAUACAGGCCACGGUUCUGUGCACCAAUGGGGCCCCAGGAUUGCCCCAAAACCAGAGGAACCCGCAGCGUCUGUAAACAAGUGAAGCGCUGCAUUCGAAACCUCAGGCUGUUGCCAAUAAGACCUUCCAUUGUAAGUUUCAAGGAAAACAGCCCAGACUACCAGAUCAUCCCUGAGCGCCUUGGUUAAGCGGAUGAAAUGUAAGGGCUUCGAGAUUCCAGCCGUGGCGGCCGCCAGGCGCCUGUUGAAUACUCUGCCCAUAGGCAUGAUCCGACAGGCAAAGUUCAGCUUGCCUAAGAGGGAUUGAAGGCGCCGGAGAGUGAUCUUUCGCAAGGAGCCUGCUUCCCGCACAGACCCCCGUAAGUCCACCAGUUUGUCCACUGGGAGCCGACAUUCCCCGAUUACUGAAUCAAUCUCAAUUCCAAGGAAACAGAGGCACGUGAAAGGGCCAACUGUCUUGUCGGGCGCCAGUGGCACACCAAACCCAGAGGCUACAUCCGCCACCGACUGCAAAAUAUGUGCGUAGAUUGAGGAAUGCGCGGGACCAACACACAAAAAAUCGUCUAGGUAAUGAAGGAGGGAGUUGUGACCAGACUCCAUUCUCACCACCCAUUCAAGAAAGGAACUAAAACAUUCAAAAUAAAAGCAGGAUAUCGCACAGCCCAUCGGGAGGCACAUGUCCACAUAGUAAUGCCCCUCAAAAUAGCAACCUAAGAGAUGAUGACACCCCGGGUGAACCGGCAAGAGACGAAAAGCAGACUCGAUGUCUGCUUUUGCCAUGAGUGCCCCCGAUCCAGCAUCCCUGACCAUACAAACCGCAGCAUCAAAUGAGGCGUAAGAAACACGGCAUAAUUCUGACGCAAUGUCAUCGUUUACAGAACCCCCCUGGGGGUGCGAUAAAUGAUGAAUGAGCUGAAAUUUUCCCUGUUCUCUCUUGGGUACGACGCCUAAUGGCGACACCCGGAGAUCAGGGAGAGGAGAUUCCCGAAAAGGGCCUGCCAUACGCCCCAAAGCCACUUCCUUGGCCAACUUGUCCCUGGCCACCCCAGGGUGGUCAUAGACCGAACGUAAGUUCCGGCAUACCUGUGACGCCGGACGAGGUUGGUGUGGAAUCCAAAAACCAAACGAAAAACCUUCCAGGAGUAAGGCGGCCGCCUUUUUAUUUCUAUAACGUUUUAACCACGGUUGCAUCGCGCCGACGUUCACUGGCGUCCUCGCCCUUAGAGCCCAUGGCGUCACCCUUGUCACCAGGCCUGCCCCGCUUAAAGCAUUUUGAGGCGGGGUGCGUUCCGCCACACCCAGAGCACUCGUGCUUGAAACGACAACCCGUGCCGAAUUUACAUUGCCCGUCGUUAUACUGCCAGCAGCAGCCCGUUCGACGCUGAUUGGCCGACGCAGCGGUAGAAGACCCUGCGCCGGCCCCCCCAAGAAAGGACGAAAGGCCCCCUUGAUGCGACGCCGGGCGGGUCAUGAUGGCCAACCACAAGCCGAUGUCCAUCUGGUCCCAACUCAACGAUGGGCGGACCGCUAUGCGCUGGCGAAACUGCUCAUCAUAGCGCCACCAGCCUAAUCCGCCAUAGGACCGGCACGCGUUCCAUAUAGUAUCCUGGUAGCAAAAGAGGGAUGAGCAUUUAUUGGGGGACUUCUCACCUAUCACACUCGCCAGGAUAGAAAAAGCCCUGAUCCAAUUACCAAAAGUUUUUGGUAUCUUCCGAUACCUAAACUUCUCCUUCUCCUUUUCGGAGUCUUUUGCCGCCGGAUCAACCCGAGGCAGAUCCUCCAUAGGGAGUAAGGAAAAUAUUUCGAUGAAUUCCCCUUUUUCUAUCUUGGUGCGCAAUUCCGGAGUCAAAUGGAGACCUAGAGGGCCUGACCAGCACAUGUAAGCCGCCCCAUGCGCAGCGGGGGCUACCCCUGACCCCGAAGACGCCGCGGCGUCAUCUAAAGAUCCUUUGGAUGGUUCAAGUUCCGCCACUGGAGGAACUGGCACCACAGGGCCACUGGGCCCUGCGGGGGCAGCAGAGGGCGAUGCUACCACCCCUGAAAGGUCAGAACCACCAGCAGCCGCCCACCCCGACCUCAGCUGAUCGUCAAGGGCUAAAGGGGGCUGUAGCCCAGGGCGAUGACCCUUCUCCAGAGACUGUAAAACGUGUCUCAUGGUUUGUAUUAAAGCAUCCCAUUGAGGUAGGACCCCUGCACCAAUACCCCUUAAGGCAUCCCCCGAUAAACCAGCGUAUUCACCAGCGGCAAUGGAAUGUGACGGCAGCUGCGGCGACCCCAUAACCUGGUCCACAGGUUGCGGCGGACCCACGGGAGCUGUAGCCGCAGAAGGGACUGCACCAGCGCCAGCGUCAGAGAAACGCACCCGACCAGGGACACUCUGUGAAGAAAGCAAAGGUGAAAAGGAACCCAACCCUCCCACACCCGCCGUGAAAGUACCUGGAGAGGCGGAUGGUAAAGUAACAGACGUAGGGCCAGGAAGGGUGGAAUGGGACCCGUCAAGGAGGGUGCCCGGAGCAGGCCCAGGGUGAUGGGGAGGGGCAGGUAAACCAUGAUGGGCCCCCACCCUGAGAGGGCCCGCUGAUGGGGCAGACAGUGAGCCAAGGGCAGGACCAGGAGUACCAGGGAGGGCCCCUGGCACAAGGGGGGCAGGGGAGGGGGAGGGGAGGAGUGAUGGGGCAGAGACAGUGGAAAGAGGGGGAGUGCCAACCCCAGAGGGACCCACUGUAGGUGGGGUGGCAUUAUAAAAAGUGCCAGGAGCAGGUCCAGGGGAGGCAGGGAAGGAGGGCAGAGCAGGAGGGGAGCUGCUGUGGGGGUGAAGUGAAUCUGUUGUCUUCCCACGGCCCCCAGAACCACCACCCCCCCCGGAAACGACCCUGCCGACCUGCGGCCUACUCACCCGACCGGAGGAGUGGGUUAGCAACCCACGGGUCACCGGAGCCGCAUGCCGGGAAGAUCUUGUAACCGGAGCCCUCCCGAACGCCGGUCUCGCCGCCGCCCUCCUCAAAGCCCACGAGACCGGCGGGGGAGGUAUGUGAGAGGCAGCGUGGGCCGCAUCAGACCGCCGCACGGCCACCUGCCGGCCUCCCCGAGCCCCGCUCGGGGAGGAAGUGCCAGGAGUGGGGGAGGCCUCGCCGGCCGCGGCCACCUGGGAACUGGCGCGCAGCCCGGCCACAGGGCUCCUGCUCCUGUCCCUCACCCGACCCUCCCGCGAGGGGCUAUACCGGGUAGGGGGGCGUGCACGGCGGCGCUGAACGCUGGGGCUGGAGACAGAGGGAGCAGCCGACCCAGCAGCACCCUGCAGCCGCGCCAGCUGGGACUGCAGGUGACGUCCCCCAUCUUGAAGGGCCUCAGCCCUGAGGGCAGACAAGAUGGAUUAAAUGUCCAUGCCCUGGCCGUGAGACAAGCAGUGGUAACAGGCAGCAAGGAGGAAGAUGUUACCAGCCGUUAUUCUAAGAUGGCUGAGGUAAGGGACAAAAUGACUGCCCUUUUAUAUGACCCCACCCCACCCCUAUCCUAAGUGACACCCCCAACAUGUGACACCUACACCCACCACACCCACACAUGCCUCCUAUCCGGCUAGCUUUUCAGCCCGCCUCCUCUGGGCCUAUACUGCAAGUGAGGUCUCACCAGUGUUCUGUACAAUGGCAUAAAAACAAGAGGUUGGAUUAAAAACAAAAUGAGAUAAAUUUAAGGAGGGUAGUGUAGCUGGAUUAUUAUCUAUUUAAGGAGGACAGUGUGACUAGUUUAUAAUUAGUUUAAGGAGGCUUGUUUAUCUACGUUAUACUUUGUUUAAAUGUAUCAAAGUUAUAAUUAGUAGAAAGGGGUUAGUGUUGUGAGGUAAAGUUAUGAUUAAAUUUAGUGAUUUAGGUUAUAAGAUUCAUAUCAUGAAGUUUGGUAACUAGUUCAUGAUCAGUUUAAGUAGGUUAAUGUAGCUAGUAUACAGUUAUUUUGAACUUGUUAGAGUAUGCAGGGUAUGUUAGCGAUUUUAGGAUUAAUUGUUUACAAUUCGUUUGAGGAGAUUUAUGUAUUUUAGGAUAAAAUCAGUUAACAAGGUCAGGAUAGCUUUUUUAUGAUAAAUUUGAAAUCAAGGAUAAGAUUAGUUAAAAAAAAUUAUAAAAUAAUACAAUUCACUCUUUAGUACAUAUACCCCCAAUUUAUCAUGCAUGUAGUCAUUGAGGGUAUAUCUAAAGAGCAUGCAAAUGCAGCAUUCCUUAUGAAGUGCAGCCUUUACAAGCCCUCCCCCCUCGGAAGAGACUCAUAGUCUCUUAGUAUUGUAAUAGCCUUUUAUAGGCUUCUAUAUAAUAUAUAUAUAUUUAGUUUUUUAAUAGUUCAAAUAGAUUAGGGGAUCUAAGGUGCAAUUAGUUUAAUAAGGUUACAGUAAAUAUUUAAUGAUUGUUAAUUAUAGUUAAUUUAUAAUUAAGUUGUAGAGAAUAGAGAUGUGCAUGGGGAAAAAAUUCAGUUUGGUUCGGUAUUCUGAAAUUCGGGACUUCAGCACUUCGGAAUUUAGGGACUUCAGCACUUUAGAACUUCGGAACUUCAGGACUUCGGGUAAGUGUAGGGUAAGGGUAGGGUUUGGGGUAGGGUUAGGGGUGGGGUUGGGUUAGGGUAGGGUUGUUUUAGGGUUAGGGUAGGGCUUGGGUUAGAGGUAGGGUUAGGGGUAUGGUUAGGGUAGGGUCAGGGGUAGGGUUAUGGUAGGAUUAGGGAUGGUUUAGAAGUAGGGUUAGGUUUAGGGGUAGGGUUAGGGGUAUGGUUAGAGGUAGGGUUAGGGUUAGGUUAGGGUUAGGGGUAGGGUUAGAAAUAGGGUUAGGAUUACCAUACCCCUAACCCUACUCCAACUACUAACUCUAACCCUACCCUACCCCUAACCCUACCCCUACUCCAACCACUAACCCUACCCCAACCCUUAACCCUACCCCUAAACUUAUCCCUACCCCUAACCCUACCUUCACCCCAACCACUAACCCUACCUUAACCCUACCCCAACUCCUAACCCUACCCCAACCUCUAACCCCAACUGUGACAAAGUGCCCUUCGCCACUUCUGCCUGGAGGGGACUACUGGCUAGCCUCCUGCCUUCCGACUAUGGCCCAUGUGCUGAUAGCUGUAUUUUCCCCUGCAGAAAGGUUUAUUUGUGUAUUUCUGCCGGGGCGUUCUGGACUUUCAGUAUGUGAGUAGUGCUACCCCAGAUAGCUAUGCCAUGGAGCCAAUUCGUGUAACGAAAGACUAUGGAAAAGACUUUGGCUCCAUGGCGAUUGAAUUGUAUGUAUGUGAUCUGAGCGCCAUUCAAUAAUAAUGUGCACUCAGAUCUAAGCUAUCUGGGGAUAUGUUACAUGUAUAUGUUUCAUGUAGUAAUUGUAACAUUGUGUAAUUUUAUGUCUUUUUACUACCAUGUGUUCAAUUGAGUUUUGCCUCUGUCCUUGGAGAUAAUUGGAUUACUUCCCAAUUGUCUCCAGGAUAGAAGACACUCUGGAACUCGGUUGGAGUGCUUAGAGUCCUCAGCGAGCACUAGGAGCAUCGAUUGGCGGAGGUACUCAGUCGGAAGUGCCAGCGGUCCGUCACACCAACCCUCUCCUGUUUUGCCAUUUUUUUUAGAAAUCCAAAGCACUUCAGCACUUCCGAAAUUCGUCAAUUCGGUUUGGCUCGGUAUUCCGAAAUUCGACACUUUGGAACUUCGCCACUUCGGCAAUUCGGGUUCGGUUCGGCUUUCCGAAAUUCUGCACUUCGGAAAUUCAGCAAUUCGGCACUUCAGCACUUGGGCCGAAUUUGCAUUCAGAACGAAACGAAUUGCACAUGUGUAGUAGAGGAUAGCGUUUCUAGUUAAUGGUCAUGUUUAGGAUAAAAGCCGGUGCUAGAUUUGUGACAAUUACAACCCUUUUCCCCAGUACACAGCAUUUUGUAAGCUAGUUUUAUAUUGUAGUAUUGUGGUGUCGAUGGUUGGAUUCAUUCGCUGAGCUCAUUUUACAGCUGCCUUGUCCUGUUCUCAAUCGCAGGUGUGUGUAAAAUAAAAUGUAUUGGAUCACUUGAAAUGAAUCCAGAUUCCUGAUACAAAGUGACUGGAUGACACUUCAAAUGGGAGACAUUAUUUAUGGUGACACCUUCCUGUGCACCAAGCCUUGAAUAUCAUAAAAGAGUAAUUGAAGUUGAUGGUGGAAAUCAGAGACGUUUGUUUUCGGUUAGUGAUGUUCCAGAAAUUCAUUACAAGAAAAUGCAGAUUUAUAGCUUCAAUUAAAAAAAAAAACAGCUCUUCUUCCAAAUCCGAGGAUUUGUAUUAUUUUUUUUGAGAAACGAGCUUCACAGUGAGUUGAGCUUUGAGCUAUUAUCUGUGAUAGACUUCAGAAAAUAAAAUCUGUGACAGAGGAUGUAUUAUCUCUUCAGAAAAUCAGACUGUAACAGAGAUGGACCGGCAAGGUUUCAUAAUAGUAACACAACAGAACCGGGGAUAUUGCAAAAUAGGCUUUACAUUGUCACAGUCAGGGACGUAUUAGCCGCGAGGCAAACAAGGCAUUUGCCUUGGGCGGCAUUUUUCAGGGGGCGUCAAAAAACGCCGCCGCCCAAAUGCCCAGGGCAAAUGCCUAGUUAGCCUUGCGGCUAACUGACAUCCCGAGCGGGCGGGCGGCGCAGGCAGGCGGGCGGCUGGCGAGGGAGCACCUCCUCUGAGCGGUCUGCUCAGCUCCCUCGCGCGCCGCAGAGUGAGGCUGGGAGCCGGAAGAUGACGUCAUAUUCCGGCUCCCAGCCUCACUCUGCAGCCGGCGCGCGAGGGAGCUGAGCAGACCGCUCAGAGGAGGUGCUCCCUCGCCAGCCGCCUGCACAGCAGCCAGAGCCGCCCAGCCCGACCGGCAGCCACUGGACCACCAGGGAGAGAGAGCACUCCCAAAGGUAAGGAGGUUGAGGGGGGAUUUAAAUUAAAAAAAAAGUUAAUGUGUGUGUGUGUCUGACUGUGUGUGUGUUUGUUUGUGUCUGACUGUGUGUGUGUCUGACUGUUUGUGUGUGUUUGUGUCUGACUGUGUGUGUGUGUCUGACUGUGUGUGUGUCUGACUGUGUGUGUGUCUGACUGUUUGUGUGUGUUUGUGUCUGACUGUGUGUGUUUGUGUCUGACUGUGUGUGUGUCUGUGUCUGACUGUGUUUGUGAGUGUGUGUGUGUCUGACUGUAUGUGUCUGACUGUGUGUGUUUGUGUCUGACUGUGUCUGUGUAUGUGUCUCACUGUGUGUGUGUGUGUAUUUAGAAAGUGGGGCGGGGGGAAGGGUUGGGUGGGGGUGGCGCGGGGGGAGGGGGGGCGCCUGAGUUUUGUCCUGCAUAGGGCAGCACAAAACCAGGAUACACCACUGGUCACAGUUAUAAUGAAAUAACAAAAUUCUUUCCAAUUACAACCAUAAACUUAAAAGAACACUAAAGCUCCCCCAUUUGUCACAUAAAAUAAUACAAUUAAAUGUUUUACUUACCUUUUUCCAACACCAAGACUCCCUUGGUUCGGUUCACCUUUGAAUAUUCUAUUUUACUGAAAAAGCAUGCAAACAAUGUUUAACCCAUUAGUGACCAGGCUGCUUUUUAAUUUUCUUACCGUUUGGGACCAGGGCUGUUUUUACAUUUCUGCGGUGUUUGUGUUUAGCUGUAAACAGAGCAGAGGGGGGACUGUCUGGAAUGAUGCUCUGCCUCACUGCCGGGCACCAUGUGGGGCAACCCGGAAGUGAUCGCUCCAGGGAAGUGAUCACCUGGCGCAAAUGUUUAACCCCUUCCCGACCUCGAACGCAUCAGUUAUGUCCGACAAAAAGCAGUCCUUAAGGACUGUGGACGUACCUGGUACGUCCACGGCUAAUUAGAGCACUGGAAGCUAAUGGUAUUGCAACGAUGCCUUGAUGUCACAUUCUAAAACUCUGAAAAACCUGUUAAUGGGGGGUACUGUUGUACUCGUGAGACAUUGUUGAAUACAAAUAUGUGCAUUUUGUUGCAGUAAAAGCUAACAGUAUUAUGACAUUUACGGCUAAAAUGUCAGGCGGAACUACAAAUUGUUUUAAAAAUCUUAAUUUCUCACAGUUUUUUUAAUUUUAUUCAUAAUAAAUUAUGUUUCAUAUAUGAAUAGCUCAUGAAAAUUAAAGCCCUGUUUCUCCUGAACAAAAUGAUAUAUAAUAAGUGUGGGUUCACUUAAUAUGAAAGAGGUGAAUUACAAAUGUAAAAUUAAAUGGCCUACAUGUUGCAGGGAUGGAUGAUUUGGGUCUAAGGAAAAGAGGUAAGACAGUUACUUUACUUUAAAGGAAUUUACUGCUGGGAGUGGCAAGCUGGGGGAGGAGGAAUGGAGCAGGCCAGCCAUUUCUUAUAAACAAUUAAAUAUUUGCUACCCAAAAUUCUAUCAGCCAGAUUAUUAAUAACUACAUGUAACAGUAAGUACAAAAAAAAUUACAGUAUUAAACUAUAUGUAACAGUGGUAUCAUCAUUAUAGUAAAAUAAUAAUCUAGUAACAAAAUGAAACAAAAAUGAAAGAGGUCCAGUUGAAUAUCUUCUGCAUCUGUUUGUACCUUUUAAAGCUGCAGUGUUCAAAAUUAAAGGACCACUCUAGGCACCCAGACCACUUCAGCUUAAUGAAGUUGUCUGGGUGCCAGGUACCUCUAGGAUUAACCCUUUUUUUUAUAAACAUAGCAGUUUCAGAGAAACUGCUAUGUUUACACUGAGGGUUAAUCCAGCCUCCAGAGCCUCUAGUGGCUGUCUCAUUGACAGCCGCUAGAGGUGCUUGCGUGAUUCUCACUGGGAAAAUCACAGUGAGAGCACGCAAGCAUCCAUAGGAGCCGCGAGCGCAUUCAGCCGGUCGCAUAUGCGACCGGCUGAAUGCGCUCGCGGCUCCUGCCGCGCAUGCGCAUUCAGCCGAUGACGUCGCGAGCAAGGAGGAGAGGAGGAGUACAGCUCCCCGCCCGGCGCUGGAGAAAGGUAAGUGUUUAACCCCUUCCUCUCCCCAGAGCUGGGCGGGAGGGGGACCCUGAGGGUGGGGGCACCCUCAGGGCACUAUAGUGCCAGGAAAACGAGUAUGUUUUCCUGGCACUAUAGUGGUCCUUUAAAUGGCCUUCAUGUUGCAGUUAUUUUGAGGGGACAGCACAUUUACACUGUUAUACAGGCUGUACAAUAACUACUUUACAUUGUAGCAGAGUGUAAUUUCUUCAGUGUUGUCACAUGAAAAGAUAUAAUAGAAUAUAUACAAAAAUGUGAGGGGUGUACUCACUUUUGGGAGAUACUGUAAUGCCUAAAUGGCAGAAUAUUGAGCAGUGAGACUGCAGGGGCAUGAUCUAUACACCAAUACUGCUUCAUUAAACGAUAGUUGUUUUGGUGACUUUAGUGUCCCUUUAACAUAUGUAAUAUUUAGACUUUAUUUGCGCUUAUGUCCGCAUUAUGCGCUGCAGAAAAUAUGGACGCCAUAUAAAUGCCAAUGAUCAUGAUAAUAGAAAAAAAUUGUAAGUAAGCAUUAGCUCAUCUGUUUGUCCUAUUUCAUGGAAGAGGCAGGCUGCUAGCAGCACAUUGCCCUGAUCUCAUAGCUGCAGUGAGUUCUCAAAUUAAAAUAGACCCGAAGAACAAUAGAGUAAUCUACAUUAGAAUAGGCGUGUUCGAAGACCAUAAUUUCCCUGCCAAUUAAAGCUGGUGAGAUUUGGGUAAACAAUUACAACAGGUUCUGCAGGCAUUGAGGUGGCACUUAACCCUUUAAUUGCACGACUGCAAAGCACACAAUGGUAUGUACUAAAACCUAAGCUUCGGUUUAAUCCAUUUGAAUCUGAAUCAAAAAUUAUUCCAAAUGUUUUUUCUUUAGAAGCCAUCAUUGUAGUGUACAUGUUUUUUUUGUAGCUAAAUCAUAUGAAAAGUUUAUUUUCUAACAGAAGGGAAUAAUUUCUGAUUCAAAUUACUUAAAGGGACACUAUAGUCACCAGAACAACUCCAGCUUAAUGUAGUUGUUCUGGUGAGUAUAAUCAUUGCCUUCAGGCAUUUUCACGUAAACACUGCCUUUUCAUAGAAAAGGCAGUGUUAAUGUUGCGUCUAGGGACACCUCCAAGUGGCCACUCCUUAGAUGGCCACUGUAGGUGCUUCCUGCGUCAGUGCUGCCGAACAAGCAGCCCUGAUGUUCAGCAGCCCCAUGCUCUGCAUGGAGAUGCUAAAUUUUCCUCAUAGAGAUGCAUUGAUUCAAUGCAUCUCUAUGAGGAGGUCCUAAUUGGCCAAAACGGCAUUUGGCCUGCUCCCGGGCCGAUUUUAGCCAAUCCAAAGCCUUCCCCAUGGGAAAGCAUUGGAUUGGUUAAAAAUCGGCCAUUAUGAUGAUGUCACAAAUGGGGUGGAGCCAGUACCGGCAGACCCGCGCAGCGCUGAAAAUAAGGUGAAUUUAAUACUAUUAUAUAGGGGUUGGGGGGGCAAGUCACCUAAAUGGUGGGUUAAACACUAUAGGGUCAGGAAUACAUGUUUGUUUUCCUGACCCUAUAGUGAUCCUUUAAACCAAAGCCUUAAUCAGUAAUAUUUACGUUAAAUAAUAUUACACAAGCAGGUAUAUUUUAAGCCAAAAUUGCUAAAACUGAAAAAAUUCCCAAGUCAGAUAGGUUCCCAAUUUGGCACUAUUUGACUAAAACUUGAAAUUUACUUUGAAUUCUUGACAAAUUGCACUUAAGUGAAUAACCCUGCUGGUAUUCUUACUUUAUAUUUACAAGUACUCAUUACAAGUGUAUGGGGCGGGGUUGGGUAUCAGAGGUAGGCAACCUCUGGCACUCCAGAUAUUCUGGACUUCAUCUCCUAUGAUGCUUUGUCAACAUUAUGGCUUUAGUGGAAAUUUAAUUCACAACAUCUUACUUUGCUCCCGCGCGCCCGUGUGAUGGGACUCCUAUUGCCGACUCCUCCCGGCAUCUGCCACCGGUCGCUUCGAUCACGUCCCCUUUUAUGCGCACCGACGUCAUAGCAGCAAUGCCAUAAAAAUUCUAAAUAUUCAACAAUGUUUUGGGGGUGUGGUUUUAACCCCUUAAGGACUGGACUGUUUUUGCGAUGUUGUACAUUUGCGACCAGGCAUAUUUUUACACUUUUGUGGUGUUUGUGUUUGGCUGUAAUUUUCUGCUCUCUCAUUUACUGUUCCCAUACAAAUUAUAUAUUGUUUUUUUCAGGACAAAAGGGGCUUUCUUUACAUACCAUUACUUAUAUAAUCUCAUGUAUUUUAAUGAAAAAAAAAUAUGAUGAAAAAUUGAAAAAAAUACAUGUUUUUUUGACUUUUACUUGAAAAAUCUUUUACUCAUCUACAAAAGUGAAUGAAAAAAACUGCUAAAUAGAUUCAAAAUUUUGUCCUGAGUUUAAAAAUGUUUACGUGCUUUUUUUUGCAUGUUAUAGGGCUAUAGGUACAAGUAGGAUAUUGCAGUUUCAAAACAUACAUUUUUAAAAUUUAUCAAUAGUGACAUUGUAACACUAUUAUCUGUCAUAAAUCUCUGAAUAACACCCCACAUGUACAUAUUUUUUUUGAAGUAGACAACCCAGGCUAUUCAAUAUGGGGUAUGUCCAGUCUUUUUUAGUAGCCACUUAGUCGAAAACACUGGCCAAAGUAAGCAUUCAUAUUUGUUUGUGUGUGAAAAAAGUAAAAAAACUAAAUUGAACGCUAAUUUUGGCCAGUGUUUGUGACUACGUGGUUACUAAAAAAGACUGGACAUACCCCAUUUGCAAUACCUUGGGCUGUCUUCUUUUGCAAAUGAUACGCCAUCAUGGGGUAAUUCUCAUUCCUGGGCUACCAUAUGCUCUCAAAGGCAACGUAACCAACCUGGCCAUUUUCAAUGUAAAAAUAUUUGACCCAUAUAUUUGACCCUGUAACUUUCGAAAAUGUUAUAAAACCUGUACAUGGGGGGUACUGUUUUACUCGGGAGACAUCGCUGAACACAAAUAUUAGUGUUUAAAAACUGGACAAUGUAUCACAACAAUUAUAUCAUCAGUAAAAGUGCUGUUUGUGUGUGAAAAAUGCAAAAAAAUCACUUUCACUGACAAUAUUAUCGCUGUGAUAUGUUUUACUGUUUUGAAUCACUAAUAUUUGUGUUCAGCGAAGUCUCCCGAGUAAAACUGUACCCCCCAUCUACAGGUUUUAGGGUGUCGUUGAACGUUACAGGGUAAAAUACAGUGCUAGCAAAUUAAAUUCUCUGGAAUUUCGGCCUGGGUUGGCAGGCAGGUCCCUCAAAUUACAAUCAAUACAAUUACUUAAUUAUGUAAAAAUAUUACAUAAAUACACACGUAGAAUUUAAAUAUAUAUGCAUAUUUAUAUAUUUGAAGUCUACGUGUAUAUUUAUAUACCGUAUUUAUCGGCGUAUAACACGCACCGGCGUAUAACACGCACCUCAUUUUAAGAAGGAAAUUUAAGGGAAAAAAAACUUAAAGGACCACUAUAGUGCCAGGAAAACGAGUAUGUUUUCCUGGCACUAUAGUGGUCCUUUAAGUUUUUUCCCCCUGNNNNNNNNNNNNNNNNNNNNNNNNNNNNNNNNNNNNNNNNNNNNNNNNNNNNNNNNNNNNNNNNNNNNNNNNNNNNNNNNNNNNNNNNNNNNNNNNNNNNUAAUGGUAUUUGACUUGGCUCGUAUUUGAACUAUUCUGCUAAUCCGGUGUCCUUGACUCAGCUCGUUUUCUCCUUUAUCCUCUUUUCUGGUUUCCUGACUCGGCUAUUCCUUAUCGUUAUCCUGAUCUCUGGUUUUCCUAGACUUUGUCUAUUUCCUGACUAUUCUCUCAUGAACCAUGUUAGAUCCAGCCAUUCUAAGGUCCGGUAUUACGUUGUCUCUAUUUAGGGUAGCAUUCUGCAUGUUGGGGUCACUUGCAUGUUCUUGAAAAAACUUGAGGUGAAUUAAUUUUGACAAUUUGCCUAUUGUGUCUUAAAAUAUUCUGGUCAAUUAUCCACAAUGUCUGGUUUAAUGCAUAAACAUCAGCGGAUAUUGCUGACUGAAGUUUUUUAGUUGUUCAUAUUUAACAAGUUUGUUGCCAUAAAUGUAAAAAUAGCACUGACAGGAGUUCAUUUGUGACUACGCCCAAAAUAACAGUGUCUGAAGUGUCCUAUCAUAUCAUUUUCAUAUAAUGUUCUAAAUGAGGGAGAGGAAGAUCUCAGUGGUUAUUCUCAGUUGCUUUUCUGAAGCAGGCAUCCAAUAUUUAGAGCUAUUCUUCUUAUUAUUACAAGCAUUUAAAAAAAUGCCAACAUAUUCAGUGGUGGUGUACGAUUUGGGGAAAAUAUAUUGAAGUAUACAAAGACCAACACAAAGAGGAAAACAGAUGCUGACCGUGGAAUGAGAUUUAGCAAUUAAACGUUUUUAUACAAAGUGCUUAGCAAGUCAGCCUGUGAGCUUACAAUCUAAAGGUACUUUUCCCUCUCUUAGAACUAGACUUAGAAAAUAGUUUCAGUAGGAAUUGCAGUUCAGCAGGAUUUGGGACAAUCGGGCAAUUGGCAGAUUUCCUGAACUCCGAGCAGAAAUGUAUAAGUUGAUCAUGGAUCAACCGAACCUUGCAAUGUUUAGUUCAAUUUGUGAUCAUGAAUUCCACCUGUGACGCCAAAAAAAAAAAAAACAGUCACUAAAUGUUGAUUUUAUUUUUAUUUUUACAGGUCAAGCGAGAAGUGACCAACAGACAGAAAAAAAGAAGGAGC